GAUCACCUACGGGGCGCAGCAGUGAGGAAUAUUGGUCAAUGGUCGGGAGACUGAACCAGCCAAGCCGCGUGAGGGAGGAAGGUACAGAGUAUCGUAAACCUCUUUUGUCAGGGAACAAAGACUGGGACGCGUCCCCGGAUGAGUGUACCUGAAGAAAAAGCAUCGGCUAACUACGUGCCAGCAGCCGCGGUAAUACGUAGGGGGCAAGCGUUAUCCGGAUUUACUGGGUGUAAAGGGAGCGUAGACGGAGGAGCAAGUCUGAUGUGAAAAUCCGGGGCCCAACCCCGGAACUGCAUUGGAAACUG
rnacentral:rRNA from 1 species